rnacentral:miRNA from 1 species
AUCAUCUGGGGAUCUUAUUAAAGUGCAGACUCUAUUUCAGUAGGUCUGGGAUGAGGGUCUAAGGUUCUGCAUUUCUAACAAGUUCCCAGGUGAUGC